rnacentral:tRNA from 1 species
GCCCCGAUAGCUCAGAUGGUAGAGCGCAUCCUUGGUAAGGAUGAGGUCUCGGGUUCAACUCCCGAUCGGGGCU